GCCAAGCAGCUUUCCAGCCACUCCUCCCUGAGGCUGUAGCGUUGCAUGGGGUUGUUGCAGAUGAUGAGCUAUGGCUGGGGGGGGGGGAGCGGUGAAGCCAGAGGACAUUCUGGUGGAGGUCUGUAGCAGUCCUGAUGUGCAAAUUGGUCGUCUGACCCAGAUCUAGGGGCAAAAGUGUAGUUGGACCACCUAGUACCUUGUUCCUUCCAAAAUUUCCCUAGGAAUAGCUGGCAUUCAGCAAGAGACAGUUUACUCGGGUAAAGUGAAUGACAAGGGGUCUUCAGGUUGAAAUGAUCUCAAGCUGUUCUCAAACUUUUCUUUCUUUCUUUCUUUCUUUCUUUC
rnacentral:ncRNA from 1 species